UUGGGAUUCUCUGAGGUCUAAGAAAGGCUUGUGUCCAUGCCGAUGCCAUUCCUUCAAGGCAAGCAUCAAGAAGCCUGCCGCCCCUACCCGGCCACCUACCAUCACGAAGCACAUGGGAACCUGGUACCCUCAAGACCUCUAUCUUUCUGCCAAAAUUGGUUGAAACUGGCUAAUGAGCUCACAAGUUAUUUUCUUUGGGAUGGAGAGGGGGCAGACAGACGCACUCCUCGGGAACAUAAAUGCCUGCAUCUCAUGUCUGCUGGAAGCCGACACAAAAAUCUCCGUAUUAAGCUUAUCGUAUAAAUUAUAUAUGCAUGUAUUUUACAGAGAAAGAUUUAUUGCCUUCAAUAUCUAGGCAUUUUAUGCUUUUGAAGUCAUGCAUACUUUGAUCCAACAAAUACUUACACUUACAAGUCACUUGGUGUGCUGAGGGUUCAGUGAGGCUGCUUUCCCUGAGUAAAGCAAAGUCCCAAAGAACAGAAGGGUGAUCAAUAGCAGAUGAUCCACGUGCUUUCUCUGUGGUCUCUUCUGUCUUCAGGGCUCUGCUAAUUCAAAGGGUUAUAAAAGCAUUAUACCCUAUAAGGGGUGUAGUGCCCGUUAGAACCUCUGAGUGCUCGUGGCUGGCCUAUUCAACGCUCUCAGCCGGUGUGACUCAGUGACUUCCACCCUUUUUGAAUUGGUGGAUACGCAACUUUUUCCAGUUAUUUUGAAUCUAAUGAGCAUGCUUUUCUUCAUUUCUUUUUCACAGGCCUGCCUAUUAUUCUGUGGAUGAAAAUUCACACGUCCACAGUGACUGUAAUAUUAAAUUCCUGUGUAUCUGUGGUCUUUCUUGAGGUGCCUGAUAGUCAGCAGCUUCCUUCUGUCUCUUUGUCGAGCAAUUCCAGUGCAACAAUUACCAUGAAUCAUCCAUUCUGUAUAUAUCUCAAUGUCUGGCUGGGCUUAUUUUCACAUGAAUGCACGUCCCACAGUACUGCUUGGUAGCUAGGAGCAAAGUGGGGUCAUAUAUUCUGCAGCAAUGACAUGAUUGCAUUUUUGUUUCUUUUUUUUUUCUUUGCUCUCCUUGAUUUGACCUAUCACCACCAUUGUGAGAUGCACUGCAAUAUUUGCCCAUCUGAGGACUGGAAAACCUAGUGCAAAUCCUAGAAAGUGGAAAUUGCCCUACGCAUGGCAGAGUGGAGCAAGCAGCCUCCUCCACCCACCCAUCACAAAGCAGGAGCCUUUCUUUCUAAAGAGAGCCUGACAAGCCAGGAAAUGCCAUGUCCCCUCAUUGCUGGGAUGCUUCCAAUAAAAGAAUUGUGAAACUAUUCCCAUCGGUGGCCUGUCCUCUACCCACAACAGUGACAGAGAAGACUGUUUGAUUUCCAUCAGCAGAAUAAUAUGAGUGUGGACGCCACUGCCACAAAUUUAAGAAGGAUCUCCAGUUGCUGCUUGCCAAAGAAACAGUUUUCUUUCACUGUUCCUGUUUCAGUGCAUGGUCUGGGGGUUUUCAGCCCUCAAGUGGAGAUGCCGCUGGUGUGAUGACAGCUUGAGCAGCAUGAAGCUCCAGAAGAGCUUGAACAGAAAGGGCUGUGUCUGCAAAGAGGUGGGUCAGCUGUGUCUCUGGAGAGCUGCAUGCAGAGCCAGACCCGACCUCUUCUCAGUGAGGUGGAAGCAAAUGUUGGUGCUUUGGGUCUGUCCACAUCUACAAGCAUGCGUGAGGUCCCUUGCUGUGGUUCAGCUGAUGUGGGGCAUCUUGCUCAACAGUUCGAGAGUCUCAGCUUGCAAAUAUUGAAGGAGAUAAAUGGUUAAAAGAAAACUAAAACAACCAUACCCAAAAUAAACAAACCAACCCCAAACAAACAAAUGAAACCUCAAAACAAACAAAGAACUCAAAACAAACAACCAAAACCUUCCCUACCCCCUCUCCCCCCCAAAAAAAUGAAGGAAGGAACAAGGAACCCUGGUGAUCACAGCAGGAUCUGCAAGGCUCACACUGGAGAGGACAGGUAUGACAGGGGCACGUUUAGCACCUGGCUGCUCUUUACAUCACAGGGCAGAAAUAUGAAAAAUAUGAAAUAUGCAGCAGGGUUGGAUGAAAAGGAAAAUGUAAUGAGAGUAGGAGAAAGAAUGCCACAUGCUCCAACCGCAUCUGAACUUGGCAGCAGCAGCCCAGGGAAGCCCAUGUAAAUCCUAGAAGCAUGUUAAAGGCAUUUUCACCCCACAAAGACUGACAUGCAUGAAAAGUAUUGUUUCAACAAUGUCAGUCAAGAGCCUGGAGAAAUAAUUUGCUAAUAUACUGCCUAGAAGCCCAACAUGGCUAAUUGGAGGGAUGUUCACAUCUUGGAAUGGAGACUACUUGGGAACAGUCUUCCAAUGGGGUAACGAAGUGCAAAGAAGUAAAGGCUGUGUGAACAAGAUGGUGUGUCGAUGCUGCAUUUACACAGCAAAGUGAGAGAUUUCCUCAAGGAGCACAAAGAAAACAUGACAGCAGAGAGAAAACACAUGUACAUGAAGCAUAGGCAAUACAACGUAAGGACAGACUGAGGGAUGUUGUAGAGAAAGACAUAACUGAAAACGCUCGGAAUAUUGCCUAUGUCAUGUGCAAAGGAAGUUAUUAUCCAGCAGCACUGUGCCCAGGCAGAGCAAGCAUUCCUUCCAGUAAGGUUUAGGAGAUGAAUCCUCACUUCUGGGGGCAGCGUGGUCAUCCUUUGGGUUUCUUCUUGGCCUGUCCUUUGUGUACUGUAGACACAUCAAGAUCUGCAAAGGCUUAGCUACGCUGCUAUUUUUCCCUUAAAAAAUAUACUCUCUAAUUUAUUGAAUUACAGGAUACAUAUCAUUUUGCAUUAAAGGGGAUAUAGUGGAAUGCAUUCAUAUUCAAUUUGGCCGUUGCAGCAGAAUCACAGAAUCACAGAAUGGCCCGGGUUGGAAGGGACCUCCAGGAUCAUGAAGCUCCAAACCCAGCAGGAAAUACAACAAUAUCUUCCUAAAAUAAGGCAUUAUAAGUCUCUGUCAGCUCCCUCAAGUUGGCUUAGAAAUAGCUUAUGGACCCAUUUCCCCCAAAGAUCUGUGGAGGAUGGAUGAAUGGGAAGCAUCUGUAGGUGAGGAACUGUGUUACACAGGAAACAUUGCUCUGUCUUUAUGCUCAGCCUUUUUUUUCUUACAUUGCAGAUCUGAAAAGCCAUAAAGAAAAGUAUAAUUUGCCUGAUUCUUCUGGCUAGCUGGGAGAAUGAAUGAGCCCCACUGGUUCCUGAGGUGCAUUGGCCAUGCUGAUGGCAGGUUUGCUAAAUCUCAGGGGAGGGAUGCAGCUGUGACAGCGGGCAUCCAGGGUCAGGGGGGACACAUUUUGUCUUGGUGGAGCUUCAGCAGGUGGUGGAUUGAACCCAAGCAGGAUACGGAGGUCACAAGUCCAGGAUAACUUGCAAGUCCAACCCAAUCCAUGGGCAGUUCACCAGAGAACCAUGGAAUCCAGCCAUAAAGGCUGGAAAAGGCCUCUAAGAUCCCAAGUCCAACCCCAGCCCACCCCAUCAUGCCCACUAGUCAUGUCCCCCCAGUGCCACAUCUCUUGAUGAGAUCUUCCUGAACACCUCCAGGGAUGGGGACUCCACCACCAUCCUGGGCAGCUUCUUCUAAUAACUCACCACCCUUUGCACUACUUUCCAUUCUACUUCCAGUAAGAUAGAGACAGAAAGUGGAGCUGAGCCUACUGAAGAACGAAGGACAGCCAACAUGUACUAGGUGCUCAUGCUUGAUGCCUGCAGGCCAGGUAAAUCCAGGGAGCAGUUGUAAAAGGAAGGGAAGUGCAGGGACAGUCGCAGCUGAUUCUCCCACCGGCUGUGGGGAAGGUACUGCACCUCCCUGCAGCUUUUAUUUAUCUCCUAGACUUUCUCUUGCAUGUUUAAAUUGCCGUGGCUUUGAAGGAGGAGCUGUGCUGUGCACUGUCCCAGCACCCACCAGGACGUCUAUUGGGACAGCUGCUCUCCUAUCCGCCCACCAAAUGGCUGAAUUCUCCAGCAAGGACAAAGACCUUAUUUAUGCUCAUGCCUCUCAAAGUACAUAUAUUUUAGUCCUGGAGGAUUUACUGGCAAUAAAGUUUUCUUCUGAGAUUCCUAAAUCACGAGGUACUUAGGCUCU
ensembl:lncRNA